rnacentral:rRNA from 1 species
GAUGAACGCUGGCGGCGUGCUUAACACAUGCAAGUCGAACGAUUAAAGCCCCUUCGGGGGUGUAUAGAGUGGCGAACGGGUGAGUAACACGUGGGCAAUCUGCCCCUCACUUCGGGAUAACUCAGGGAAACCUGAGCUAAUACCGGAUACUCCGGGAUGGUCGCAUGGCCAACCCGGGAAAGUUCCGGCGGUGAGGGAUGAGCCCGCGGCCCAUUAGCUUGUUGGUGGGUAACGGCUCACCAAGGCGACGAUGGGUAGCCGGGCUGAGAGGCUGAUCGGCCAAACUGGGAAUGAGACACGGCCCAGACUCCUACGGGGGGCAGCAGUGGGGAAUCUUGCGCAAUGGGCGAAAGCCUGACGCAGCAACGCCGCGUGCGGGAUGAAGGCCUUCGGGUUGUAAACCGCUUUCAGCAGGGAUGAAAAUGACAGUACCUGCAGAAGAAGCCCCGGCUAACUACGUGCCAGCCGCCGCCGUAA